rnacentral:rRNA from 1 species
GUUAAUGGCCAUACCACCCUAAAUAUGUCCAAUCUCAUCGGACCUCAGAAGCUAAGCAAGAUCAGGUUGGUUAGUAGUUAGAUGGGAGAAAGACACACUUGUGCUGACC